CCUACGGGGGGCAGCAGUGGGGAAUAUUGGACAAUGGGGGCAACCCUGAUCCAGCCAUGCCGCGUGUGUGAAGAAGGCCCUCGGGUUGUAAAGCACUUUCAGUGAGGAAGAACGCCUGGUGGUUAAUACCCAUCAGGAAAGACAUCACUCACAGAAGAAGCACCGGCUAACUCCGUGCCAGCAGCCGCGGUAAUACGGAGGGUGCGAGCGUUAAUCGGAAUUACUGGGCGUAAAGCGCGCGUAGGUGGCUUGAUAAGCCGGUUGUGAAAGCCCCGGGCUCAACCUGGGAACGGCAUCCGGAACUGGCAAGCUAGAGUGCAGGAGAGGAGGGUAGAAUUCCCGGUGUAGCGGUGAAAUGCGUAGAGAUCGGGAGGAAUACCAGUGGCGAGGGCGGCCUUCUGGACUGACACUGACACUGAGGUGCGAAAGCGUGGGUAGCAAACAGGAUUAGAUACCCUAGUAGUC
rnacentral:rRNA from 1 species